rnacentral:rRNA from 1 species
GACGAACGCUGGCGGCGUGCCUAAUACAUGCAAGUCGAACGCAGUGGGGACGGGUGAGUAACACGUGGGUAACCUCCCAUCAGAGGGGAUAACACUUGGAAACAGGUGCUAAACCGAUACUGAUAGAUGGACCCGCGGUGCAUUCGCUAGUUGGUGAGGUAACGGCUCACCCAGGCCACGAUGCAUAGCGGACCGGGUAGGUGGACCGGCCACACUGGGAUGGAGAAACGGCCCAGAUCCCGACGGGAGGCAGCAGUAGGGAAUCUUCGGCAAUGGACGAAAGUCUGACCGAGCAACGCCGCGUGAGUGAAGAAGGUUUUCGGAUCGUAAAACUCUGUUGUUAGAGAAGCGGUAUCUAACCAGAAAGCCACGGCUAACUACGUGCCAGCAGCCGCGGUAAUAC